rnacentral:rRNA from 1 species
AGUGAACGCUGGCGGUAGGCCUAACACAUGCAAGUCGAACGGCAGCACAGUAAGAGCUUGCUCUUACGGGUGGCGAGUGGCGGACGGGUGAGGAAUACAUCGGAAUCUACUUUUUCGUGGGGGAUAACGUAGGGAAACUUACGCUAAUACCGCAUACGACCUACGGGUGAAAGCAGGGGAUCUUCGGACCUUGCGCGAUUGAAUGAGCCGAUGUCGGAUUAGCUAGUUGGCGGGGUAAAGGCCCACCAAGGCGACGAUCCGUAGCUGGUCUGAGAGGAUGAACAGCCAAACUGGAACUGAGAAACGGGCCAGACCCCUACGGGAGGCAGGCGUUGGGAAUUUUGGACAAAGGGGGCCAGCCCGAUCCAGGCCUACCGGGUUGGUUAAGAAGGCCUUCGGGUUGUAAAGCCCUUUUGUUGGGAAAGAAAAGCAGCAGGUUAAUACCCCGCUGUUCUGACGGUACCCAAAGAAUAAGCACCGGCUAACUUCGUG